GCCAGUUUGGUCUAGUGGUCAAAACACCAGGCUGAAAACCAGGAGUUGUGAGUUCUAGUCCUGUCUUAGGCA
rnacentral:tRNA from 1 species